rnacentral:rRNA from 1 species
GUUAUAUGGUCAAGUGACUAAGCGUGCACGGUGGAUGCCUAGGCAGUCAGAGGCGAUGAAGGACGUUGUAACCUGCGAUAAGGUUCGGGGAGGUGGUAAACAACCUGUGAUCCGGACAUUUCCGAAUGGGGAAACCCACCCAGUGUAAGCUGGGUAUCCUGCGGUGAAUACAUAGCCGCAGGAGGCGAACCCGGGGAACUGAAACAUCUAAGUACCCGGAGGAAAAGAAAUCAACCGAGAUUCCCCUAGUAGCGGCGAGCGAACGGGGAGUAGCCCUUAAGCUUUUAGCGUUUUAACAGAACACUCUGGAAAGUGUGGCCAUAGUGGGUGAUAGCCCCGUAUGUGAAAAGGCGCUUCAAGUGAAAUCGAGUAGGACGGGGCACGAGAAACCUUGUCUGAACAUGGGGGGACCAUCCUCCAAGGCUAAAUACUCCUGACUGACCGAUAGUGAACCAGUACCGUGAGGGAAAGGCGAAAAGAACCCCUGUGAGGGGAGUGAAAUAGAUCCUGAAACCGUGUACGUACAAGCAGUGGGAGCCGUUUUAGGACGGUGACUGCGUACCUUUUGUAUAAUGGGUCAGCGACUUAUUUUCAGUAGCAAGGUUAACCGAGUAGGGGAGCCGUAGGGAAACCGAGUCUUAAUAGGGCGUGCAGUUGCUGGGAAUAGACCCGAAACCGAGCGAUCUACCCAUGGCCAGGGUGAAGGUUGAGUAACAUCAACUGGAGGCCCGAACCCACGUAUGUUGAAAAAUGCGGGGAUGAGCUGUGGGUCGGAGUGAAAGGCUAAUCAAGCUCGGAGAUAGCUGGUUCUCCUCGAAAACUAUUUAGGUAGUGCCUCGUGUCUCACCAUGGGGGGUAGAGCACUGUUUCGGCUAGGGGGUCAUCCCGACUUACCAACCCGAUGCAAACUCCGAAUACCCAUGAGUGCAAUCACGGGAGACACACGGCGGGUGCUAACGUCCGUCGUGGAAAGGGAAACAACCCAGACCGUCAGCUAAGGUCCCCAAGUUACAGUUAAGUGGGAAACGAUGUGGGAAGGCUUAGACAGCUAGGAGGUUGGCUUAGAAGCAGCCACCCUUUAAAGAAAGCGUAAUAGCUCACUAGUCGAGUCGGCCCGCGCGGAAGAUAUAACGGGGCUCAAACUGUACACCGAAGCUACGGAUGCCAGUUUACUGGCAUGGUAGAGGAGCGUUCUGUAAGCCGUUGAAGCGCAAGCUGUCAGGCAGCGUGGAGGUAUCAGAAGUGCGAAUGCUGACAUGAGUAACGAUAAGGGGUGUGAAAAACACCCCCGCCGGAAGACCAAGGGUUCCUGUCCAAUGCUAAUCAGGGCAGGGUGAGUCGGCCCCUAAGGCGAGGCUGAGAAGCGUAGUCGAUGGGAAGCAGGUUAAUAUUCCUGCACCUCAUAUAAGUGCGAUGGGGGGACGGAGAA